CACUCUCUCUUUUCCAACGCCAUUUCAUUUGGUUUUUAUGGUUUUACGGUCGUUUCCUAGUCUUCAUCAAUAACUCAAUUUCAUCUCCUUUUUUUUUUUGCAAUUUUCCCCUUAUAUUGGUUCUCGUAACAGCUUUAAUUUAAAGAAAUUGAAGGAAUUAGAAGUUGUUCAUCUAUCGAUUCUAUAAGAUGUAUGAGAUUUGAGAUUUGAUGUGGCUAGGUAGGAGUUUUUGUUGGUCCACCACAUGUUCGAUGAAAUGCUUAACAAAAAAUAUUGGGUUAAACCUGAUGACAAUGAAGCUAGUUUCAACUAUUAACUUAAGAUCUAUCCACAUGAUGGAAACUUGAAAGAGUCAAGUCAAGGGUUGUUGGUGACAAUCAAUUAUAUGAGGGCAUUACCGCAUCAUCAUUAUAAUGAAAGAGUGAAGCAGGUCGUACUAGACAGGUUUUGAAGAGGUUGUCAUUAAUGUGGAAUAUGAAGAAAACAUGGAGAAUGAUAUUUGUAUUCUAACAGAAUGUAUUCUGUCAGAAUCUAUUCUGCAAGAAUAGAUUAUUGUUUUUAUUAGAUUUUGAUAUUUUUUUUCUUUUUAACCAUUUUUACUUUUAAUCUUUAAGAAUAAAUGUAAUCCUUAAACCAUUAUUGGUCAUAAUUUUUUGAGAAUGAUUGUAAUAAUUGCUUAGUCUUUUUGUUUACGGAUGAAUGUAAAUAGUGAUUCUUAAAGAAUAAAAUUUGUAUUCUUUAGAAAAUGU